CCAAUAACAAUAUGGAUCCUAUAAACACACUUUUUGACAAACCCUAGAUUGGUGUGUAAUGUCUUCUUCAAUACGCUGGUUCUUCUCCUUCUUCGCCGCCGAUUCAUCAUCCAAAAUUGAUCCAUCAUCCAAAACCGAUUGGGAAUCAAGAGUAGAAGAUGGAGUUUCGGGAUCCUUAAGAUCAAUCGCCACUACCAUUCACUUAAAACACCAAUUAAGGUGCGGGGCGCGUGGUCAACUAUAUAUGGGAAUGAAUCUUGAUUCUUGAGAGCUUUGUACUGUUAGACAGACUGUUGGGCAAAACCAGAGCAACAGCUGAACUGUGAAGAAAUCCUGUCCUGUUUAACGAGGAAGGUUGUUGGUGUAAGGAUCAAAGACGAGACUGAAGUGAUCGAAUGGGAAGUUGUGAAAAUCUAGAUUGACCAUCUGGCAGUGAGUGGAUCAACGUCUAAAACUUGGAAAUUGGCUUUGAAGACGACUAGAAGAGGAAAGAGGUGGUCCAUUACGUUACACUUCAUGAAAUUGGUGUUACUAAUACC